rnacentral:rRNA from 1 species
AGCGAACGCUGGCGGCAGGCUUAACACAUGCAAGUCGAGCGGGCGUAGCAAUACGUCAGCGGCAGACGGGUGAGUAACGCGUGGGAACGUACCUUUUGGUUCGGAACAACACAGGGAAACUUGUGCUAAUACCGGAUAAGCCCUUACGGGGAAAGAUUUAUCGCCGAAAGAUCGGCCCGCGUCUGAUUAGCUAGUUGGUGAGGUAACGGCUCACCAAGGCGACGAUCGGUAGCUGGUUUGAGAGAACGACCAGCCACACUGGGACUGAGACACGGCCCAGACUCCUACGGGAGGCAGCAGUGGGGAAUCUUGGACAAUGGAGGAAACUCUGAUCCAGCCAUGCCGCGUGAGUGAUGAAGGCC